UACCGGCGGCUCGAGUGGUGGCCACUAUUACUGGGCUUAAAGCGUUCGUAGCUGGUUUGUUAAGUCUCUGGGGAAAUCUUCCGGCUUAACCGGAAGGCGUCUCAGGGAUACUGGCAGACUAGGGACCGGGAGAGGUGAGAGGUACUCCAGGGGUAGGAGUGAAAUCCUGUAAUCCUUGGGGGACCACCUGUGGCGAAGGCGUCUCACCAGAACGGCUCCGACAGUGAGGGACGAAAGCUGGGGGAGCAAACCGG
rnacentral:rRNA from 2 species